AAAAAAUAAAACGCUUGAUCGCGACUCCGCAUCAGUCGCUCUGGCUCAGACGCUUGGUCGCUCUAGCCCGCCUCACUCUCUCGCCGUGCAUCGUCCGAGCGUCCUCAUCUUGCCGUUGAGCUGCCGUCAGGCAUUUUCCGUCUCCGAAGAACAUUCUGUAAACCAUAUUCCACACCAAUUGCUUUGAAACAUUGAACCCAGACCUUCUUCUCUCCAGCUUCCCCAGUGAUCAUAGCUUUUCUCGGUGUCAUGGAUCCUGAUAUAUGUCGCUGGAUACUAGAGUUUUUGCUUAGGAGUUCCAUCCCUGAUUCAAUUGUCAAGAAAAUCAUGAAGGCUUUGCCUCUCUCUAAUAUCAAUUCGCGGCUAAGGAAAACAAUCGUUCUUAGGGAUAUGCAAUCUGAGGUGGCUACAACUUCUCUUACAGAAAACUUAUUAGUUUGUCUAGAGGUUAUUGAAGAAAUAAAUAGGCUUGAUGGCAUUGCAAUCUCAGCAGCGAUGAAGGAGGCAUAUUGUGCUGUUGCUGUGGAGUGCACCGUCAAGUACCUUGAUGCUUGCCCAGAUAAGAACACUUGCGGCUUGUUUGAUGAUGCUGUCAAUAGGAUUUGGAGGGGCCGAGUUCGGCAGAUGAUGGAGGCUGUGGCAUCAGGGAAAAAGAUUGACUUGUUUACAGCUGAGUUGAUCGGGUGGAAGGAUGUUAUAGAGUCUGCACGUUGGGAUAGAGAGGUGUGCGAGAGGUUAACAAACAUGAAUACCAGACAAAAUGCAUUCAAUAAGGUUAGGGUUUAUCUAAAAGAAACCUGGGCAUCCAUGGGCCCUGCUUUUCUAGAGCAAGCAGCUAUAUUGUCUGAAGACAAGGGCUGGGGAAAUUCAUGGGGGGAUAAGAUGGGUGACAUACGAGGAGAGCUUGCUGAUUGUAUACCCAAUGGAGGUUGUGACAAUGGUGUUUCUGAAUCUGUUUUGGUCUCUGAUCAAAUGAAUAGGUGUAAAGGAAGGUUACAUUAUUCAACAAACAUGACGGAGAAGGGUUUAGUUGUGUUUGAUGGCAAUGCAUUGUACACUGCUGCAACUUGCAUGGAGAAGACACUGGUGGCAGGUGGAAACCAGGUUUUUGAGCAAUUGGGUAAGAGAGCUGUGUCUUCUGUUGGCGGAAGUCAGGCUUUGGGAGGGAUUGACUUGCCUCGGAGGAUAAAUAAAGAAAUUGAAAAGGUCAAGCUGCCACUUGAACAUAAUCAUGGUGCACCCCGUAUACGGAGAGGAGUUAAUAUUAGUGAUGCUGAGGAAGCAAAGUCAUCGACUGUGUGCAGCAAAGAUCACAAUGCAUCUAAUAUUCAAGUUGACAAACUUCGGAAAUCUCUCAUAUCAAGUUCUUUGGAGUUGCGAGCAUUGGUGAAGGAUCCUCUUCCUGAUGCAUUACAUAGAUCUGAUAUUGUAAGAUCUGAAUUAGCAUCAAAAGGUGUGAAUCAUGAGCCUUCUUUUGAAAACCAGAGUGCAGUUGUUGAUGUACCAGAACAAAAUACUUGUAGGAGCAUGGUUCUUUAUCAACCUAUUGAUAUUUUAAAGAAACAAUAUUCUGCUAAUUGUAGUAAUGUUCAGCGUCCCAGUUUGAUGGAAAGAAACAGUACUGCUUGUACUUAUGAGUGGGAUGAUUCAUUUAUUGACGUUCCUGGGAGAAGCCCUAAGAAAAGGAGGAGAAAGGGAAGAUGGGGUUCUGAAGAGGAGGAUGCGUUAAGGGCUGGUGUAAAGAAGUUUGGCAAAGGAAAUUGGAAGUCAAUCCUAAGAUUUUAUAGUGAGAUAUUUACAAAGACAGGAAGAACUGAAGUUGAUUUGAAGGAUAAAUGGAGAAAUUUGACACGAUAGUCACUGAGUGAGGAAUUUGACACUUCUGGAAAUCUUUUGAUCUGAAGGAUAAGAAAAGAAACAUGUCGCUAUAGUUACAAAGAGGAAUUAUUUUAGCUUUAGAGCUGAGCCAGAUCCUCAUUAUCAAACUCACAGGGGUUCUAGGUAAAUACUUAGGUAUACCCUUCAAAAGAGAGCAACCUGUGCUGUUUAUGCUUCAAUUCUGGACAAGGUGCGGAGGAGAUAUUCGUCUUGUCAAGGUGUAUAAAGCUGGAAAUUGAGAGAGACAUUAUUCAAUAACCUUUAUGUAUGUAUAUAUAAUAGUAAUUGUAAUCUCGAUGCAAUUCAAAAUGAUACUGCACUUGAGAAAAUCCAAUAUGGGGACGGACAUAUGAAAUUGUUGUGAAAUGACGAAUUGACAGGA